GCCAAUUUAUUAUUAACCGUCCAUGAGACUAGUUCUUACUUCUCUCUUGUGAAUGUUGAGUAAAAAACAUAGAACUUAUCAUGUCUGGGGAGUGCAUUCAAACGAUGCUUAACGUUGUUAUUUUUUUGUGUAAAUUGGAUUUAGACGCAUGUAUUUGAAAGUUUACAGUCUUGUCAAAUUCAGUGUUUCUUUGACAAUGGACCACCCUGACCAAAAUGGCUGCCACUGUGAACCUGUAGUCCAUGGGCCCUGGAUCUCUUUUCCAUGGAUUCUGGGGAUACAUUUGAACUACACUUUGGUUACUGUUGCUAACUGACAAGCUUUGCCUUUUAUUUUCCUGUGAAAAUGGAGAAGUGCAUAGUAAUAACGCUAAGGGAACUCCCCAAUGAGGUACUAAGUUACUUUUGGAGACAACCAUCACUUAUAUCAGAUUGGAGCAAACUAAAGGAUCUUCAGUAUGCCUUUUGAAGGCUGUAUUCACAAAAAAAUUAUGCAGGAGCUAAACACAGCAAGCAGGAGGAAUAGGAUAGAGGCAAAGUCUACAGGACCCAGUGUAAGAGGGAGAAACACCACUAGCUGACCAUUGAGGCAGAGGCAGAUGACAAAGGAGCACCAUUGUUCCUAAACUGCAGGGUAGGUCUCACAAUCAUUUAAAAACCAAACUCAUACAAUAUCAGCUUCAGCUAGCUGUUUUGCUAACGUAAACAACCAACGCCCUGCCCUCGCUUCAACAAAUAUAGUGUUCUAUGCUAGCUCCACAGGUUACUGCUCGCAUGUUGUUGGGCUGAUCCACACCUUGGCCCUCUGGAGAGCCCCAGAUGAAAUGUCCACUACAAGCUUGCCACAACAGUUGCAUAAGUCAAGAGGAAAGAAGAUUGAUUCCUAUUGAAGCCUAUUACAGCGGUCAGGGUGGCAAAGGCAAAAGUGAGUCGGAAAAGAAGACCAGUCUACUGCAGUUACAACUGAUAGCUCCCACUAUUGGAGAACAGCACCACCACCAUCCUCCUCCAACCCUACGGAUGAGUUCCCAACAUUUCCUCAGCCGCCAACAACCAAGAUGUUUCUCUACAGUUCUGAAUGAAAAUAAGAUAUUACAACAGUGAUAUAAUGAUCUCCCAGUCUGAAGCAGAGGCACUGGAAAAAGAGACAAGAUGGCAGAGCAACAACACCCGCCAUGGUGUCUGCUCCCAGCCACUUACUUAAUCUUUUUAAGAGGUUGUGCUCCAAGGUAGCAGACUGACAGACUUGCCACCAGCAUGCAGAGGAAGAAGACCGUGCAGACCAAGGCGAUGACGAUAGACCUGGAGCUUGAGCUGCUUACAGCAGCACCGUAUACUGAAGUCACUGGGCACAAAGUGUUCCCAUGUGGCUUUGUUGUCAACCACCACUCCCUCCAUUUAGGCAUCUCGUGACAGGAAAGUCUAGAGUAAUGAGAACCCAAGCAACAGCUUCUGGAAAUAAAAUGCCCAAACAAAGUCAACUUUACUGGUAGUAAAUCUCUCUGUCAAAGAGCUGAUGGUACCUAUGCUUACAAACCUAAUCAUGAGUUCCUCUACCAUAGUAUGGGACAAAUGGGAAUCACAGGGAUGCCGUGGGGUGAUUUUAUUUGUCAUGUGUAAAAAUGACUUUCACCUGGAGUGUGUCCACUUUAAUGCAGAAAAGUGGGAUAGCAUGAAAAGCCAGCUGGA